rnacentral:lncRNA from 1 species
AAUACAUGAAAAACUACUUUCAAAUAUAAACCGUUACCCUUUUCUACCUGACACUCCCAACUGUAAUUUACUCACCAAAUCUAAAAGCAUAGAAUGUCCCCCACCUCACAAUCCUUACUUCUUGUUCAGGAAAAGGCUAGGAUCUGAGUCUCUAUGCGGGUGCUAUCAGAUCUCAGCACAGCUGAAGGUAAGGUGGAAGCUGUCAGAAGUCCAAUGUCUUCACAAGACCACUAGAAAAAAUUGCUGAUCAAGCAAAGCCGAGUUUAGACUUACUGCAGGAAGGGAGGAUGCCAUUUGACUGAAUCUUAGUCGCAUCUCAGAAGGAUGAAGUCAGAGGAGUAUAGUUAGAGAAUCUAAAAGACUGGGCUGAAUGAUUUUAAAGUGGAUUUUGCAAGGUAGAAACUCAUUGUGACUAGGAAGUUUACACUGUAAUAGUUUUCGUUUAGUCGACUGACGUUGUAAGCACCACCAAGCAAUUCAUGAAUUCCCAGCAGACGCUGACCGCGUGUCCUGCCAGUCUAACUCAAUUCUGAUGCUAUCUACCUGGAGAGAGAGCCAUCUCCCACAGGUGAAGAGCUCCGUCCUACAAGUCUGCCUCCACUCCAGAUGUCAGUUGGAAGUCCAGAUUGUGACCUGUGCUUCUGACCAACUGGCUAUAGAUCGGAGGUUCCCACAACCCCCUCCUUGGGUUCAAUUAUUUUGCUAGAGUGGCUCACAGAACUCAGGAAACCAGUUUACCUACUACAUUACCACUUUAUUACAAAGGAUAUUAAAGGAUACAAGUGAAUAGCCAGAUGAAGAGAUACAUAGGCAAGGUCCAGAAGGUUCCAAAUCACAGGAGCUUCUGCCCUUGUGGAGUGUGGGGUGUGCCACCCUCCUGGCACACAGAUAUGUUUUGGUUUACCAACCUGGAAGCUCUCCAAACCCCAUUCUUCUGAGUUUUUAUGGAGGCUUCAUGACAUAGGCAUGAUUGAUUAAAUCAUUGGCCCCUGGUGAUUGAACUCAAUCUUCUCCAGUGCCUCUCCCCUCCUGCAGGUGGUCACUGGGUAGGACUAAAAGUUCCAAGCCUCUAAUCACGUGGUUGGUUCCCUUGGCAACCAGCCCUCAUCCUUAGGUUACCUAGGGGCUUUCCAAAGCUUGCCUCAUUAACAUAACAAAAGACACCUUUGUUGUUCUCAUUGCUUAGAAAUUUCCAAGGGCUUUAGGAGCUCUGUGCCAGGAAUGGAGACAAAGACCAAGUGGAUAUUUCUUAUUAUAAAUCACAGUAUCAGAGGUUGCCUGUUAUUGCUUUUAUUGGUGUAGAGAGUUUUCUUUUUAUGUCUGUAUUUAUGGAUAUUUUAUAAGAAGUUAAAGAAGUCUGCAUAAUUGCAUAACAUUUUGAAAAGAAAUUGUUUACAUAAUAACUUCUAAGAUUAUAUACAUAUCAGUCACUAACAGUCCAAUGUAUGCAGGUACAAAGUCAUUGGCAUAGUAAGUAGCUGUUAUGCAAGAAUAGCUGGAAUGAGAGGAAUGUCACUGUCUUAGAUAAACAACUCACAAUGACCUGGCAAAGAGGGGGCAACGGGAAAUGAAUACCC